UUUCUUUUUUUUUUUAAUGAAUUUAAACUUCUUUUUUUUUUUUUUUUAAUGAAUGUAAACUUCUUUUUUCCCCCUUUUUUUUUCCUUUUCAUAUGAAUCAAAUUUUGUUUCAUAUUUUUUUUCCUAUAACUUUUAUUUCACAAAAUUUGUUUCAUAUUUUUUUUCAAUUCUAUUUUUUUCGUAUAACUUCCUAGGCCAUUUAUACAACAUUAAAUUGUAGUUUUUAAAUAAUAAAUUAUGUUUGGCCCUCGGUUGGAGACGGUUUUUUGUGACAGAGCUAAAACGAGCCCUUUGGCCCUCUAGCCCUCGGUUGGAGACGGAGGCAAAUAUGGCCCUGUACUAUUUAUUAAAAUAUUAAUAUCUUGAGAAAUCUUGGAGGGCUAGAGGGCUCAAACUAGCCCUCUGGCCAGCCUUGGGUUGGAGAUGGCCUAAGAUAAUUAAUACAUAGGUCAUCAUUUAAAACCAAGCAUUAUCCAUCCAUUACGCAAUGAACAUAGGACGGCCUUGUUUUUUUCUUCCCGUAAAUAUUAUUAAUUAAUACAACCACAGUUAUCUGACACGUUGGUUGUCCAUCCCUGUCUCUUCAUUUUUUCUGACACGUUGGUUGUCCAUCCCUCUCUCUUCUAUUAUGCAGGAUAGAGACUGUAAAUCAUCCAGCGAGCAGACCAAGCAGCCAACCAAUGUAUAAUUAAUACAAUCAAAUGUUAAUCCAACGUAAAAGAAGAAGUUAUAUUUUGAGUAGGAUUCUCUUCUCUCAUAUUCUCAUCUAUUUUUUUUUCUUUCUCUAACAUAUUAUUUUUUGUCUUUCUUUAUAAAAAAAUCAAUAUAAGAUAUUGACGUAAUUGCCGUAAACGUUCAAAUAGGAAGGGAGGUAAUGAGAGAGAGAUUAAGAGGGAGAAAAUCCUACUCUGUUAUAUUUUAUUUACCAAAAAACAAAAAAAAACACAAAAGAAGAAGUUAUGAUUCAUUCCCUUUUCACAUGCUGUCAGCUGGUUCAUUUUAUUGUAUAAUUAUUUCAAUGAUUUAUGCAAAACUAAAACUUCGUGCUCCUAUUUUUGUCAAUUUCACUCCAUUUAAAUGAAGUUUAGUAGUUUUUCAAGGUUGCAUUAAUAAAACGAAAAACAUCACCGAUCAGAAAUACAGUCCCAGGAUAACGUUUGCCUGGAUAACAUUUAGUAGUUUGUUUACAGAUAAAAUUUAAUCCACUAACGUUAUUGCUCUACUCAAUUUGUUUUAAGCUACUAUUAAGUAAGAAACGAAACACUUUUGUAAAGAAGUAAUGACAUAUUUACUUACAAGGAAUAUAUUUAUACAUUGCCCUAAGUUGGUCGUGCAUUUGGCAUUUCCAAGUUUCAAAUUUCAAUUUCAUAUUUAAUCAAUUGCAUCCAAAAUCAUACAAUGGUAAACUUCUAACUCAUGACAGAUAGUUCUGCAUAUCAAAGUAUUAAAUCAAGAAUAAUGUGGUAGUGUUUUAUUUGCUCACAUAUUGACCUAAAGUAUAUUUAUUUAUUCUAACACUUAAAAUUAAAGCAAUCAUGAGUGUAGUCAUUGUAUUGGUUAGAGUGGAUUUUACACGAUCACUCGAGUUCAAAUUCUCUUUUUUUAUACUUUAAAUUAAUUUAAAUUAAAAUAUCGUUUGUAAUAAGAAGAUAAAAUAUUAACAUGUCACCUAUAAAUAUUAGCACUAAUGCUUUUGAAUACCGAAACCCAUAUGUGCCAAUUGCAAGACUAUGUCAAUUUAAAUGUAGAUGCUACAAUUGCAAGACUGCCAAUCUGGAUUCAAAUGUA
rnacentral:lncRNA from 1 species